UGUCAUUAGUGUAAGAUCCGCUCACAUGUGUCCAUAGCCUCUGUGUCUGUGAAGAGUGACCAUUCAAAGGGAGAUGGACCAGACUUCAGUGAGAAAACACCAUGUCACAAGAGUGUAAGAUCAGGCUCACAUGUGUCCAGCUCUGUGUCUGUGAAGAGUGACCAUCAUUCAAAGGGAGAUGGGACCAGACUUCAGUGAGAAAACACCAUGUAACAAGAGUGAAAGAUCUGACUCGCAUGUAUCCAGCUUUGUGUCUAUGGGAGAGUGACCAUUCAAAGGGAGAUGGACCAGAAUUCAAUGAGAGAAAACACACCAUCCC